CCAACUCAACUUAUAAGAACAAAAACGGCCCAGAAACUUUAGCCCAAUCCCUCUCUCUCUCUCUCUCCUCGUCUCUCUCUCUCUCUCUUCUUCUUCUNUCCACUACCUCUCUCUCUCUCUCUCCUCUUCGUUCUCUCUCUCUCUCUCCUUUCUUUCUUUCUGCAGAUGCACACCUCUCAUCAUCUGCCUCAUCUCUCCCUUCAAUCUACCACCGCCUACCCUCUUCUCGCCGUUGAUACGGCCACCACGACUACUCCCUCUUCUCGCUCUUCCUUUACCCCUUAAAAAUCACGAAAACCCCCAAAAAUCCCUAGCUUCUCUCUCCUCUUCGAUUUCCGGCGAGCUAGCCACCGCCUCCCUCCUUCAGCUGACAGCUACGGUCAGCCGGACCGUACCCAUCGCCGCCUCCCUCGUCUGACUCUCCAACUCAUCGCCGCCCCGCCCCUUUCCUUGACAGACGAACGGCCGCAGGCAUCGGCUACCACCGGUGGACCUCAAGGGCCGAGGCCGCCGAACAGACCCGCCGUCCAGCCGCCUCCCCUUUCUCUCUCUAUUUCUGGCAGACGGCCAGCAGGAGCAUCGGCCGCUGCCGCUGCCGCUGCCGCUGCCGCUGCCGCCGCCGAUCCUCCCUCCUAAUCUUCACCCCUCUCUCUCGGCGAGAAGCCGCCGCCAUCCAUCGGCGUCGCGGCCACAACGCCGCUGCCGACAGCAGCAGCAAAGCCGCUGAAAGCCUGCCUCCUCUGUUCUCCCUCGACCCCAACCUGCCCGACUCGCAACAACAACAACAGCUUCUAAAACUCACGCACACAGCAGCAGCACACACACACACAAAAAUAGCUUCUUUUGUUACAUCAAUUAAUUAGCUCAAUUGCAGAAAAAUGCAUCUGUCUACAUAAAUGUGGAUAUAUUAUAUAUAUAUAUAUAAUAUAUUCUCAAAGUCAAAUUGUCAUCCGUUGCAUUAUGUCUCAAGGUCCUCUGCAAAAAAAAAUGAUGGUUCUUGAAGUAGAUUAUUGAUUAUUGAAUGGAUGUGUGAGUUGGUUUACCUCUUGUGAAAUAAAUUGAUUUCUCCAGAUUAUGGGUGGGAGUGGGUUGCUGUAAAUUGAUGUUUGUGAUGGUAUUCGACUUUGCAAGAAAUUCUGAAGGGAUUGCGAAAGUUGUUCUUCAAAUUGGAAAUGAAGAAAAUAAGCUGGGAUUUGAUGGCAAGAGAAUUGCGUCUGUUAUAACAUUGCUGGAAAAUUGUGAAGAAGUUUCAUAGUGAAAUCGAAUUGGAGUAAGAUCUGUGAGGGUGAUUAGAAACGAUGAUGAAUCAUCUUGAAAUAGGAGGAAAAUGGGGAAGUGGAUGCACUCUCCAACCAAUAAUUAAAUCAGUAAAAAUGAAAAUAUCUGGAAUAGUAGUAAUACAAUUGGGCAUCUGAAUUAGGAAUCUGGCCCACAU
rnacentral:lncRNA from 1 species